rnacentral:rRNA from 1 species
AGUGAACGCUGGCGGUAGGCCUAACACAUGCAAGUCGAACGGCAGCACAGUAAGAGCUUGCUCUUACGGGUGGCGAGUGGCGGACGGGUGAGGAAUACAUCGGAAUCUACUUUUUCGUGGGGGAUAACGUAGUGAAACUUACGCUAAUACCGCAUACGACCUACGGGUGGAAGCAGGGGAUCUUCGGACCAUGCGCGAUUGAAUGAGCCGAUGUCGGAUUAGCUAGUUGGCGGGGUAAAGGCCCACCAAGGCGACGAUCCGUAGCUGGUCUGAGAGGAUGAGCAGCCACACUGGAACUGAGACACGGUCCAGACUCCUACGGGAGGCAGCAGUGGGGAAUAUUGGACAAUGGGCGCAAGCCUGAUCCAGCCAUACCGCGUGGGUGAAGAAGGCCUUCGGGUUGUAAAGCCCUUUUGUUGGGAAAGAAAAGCAGCAGGUUAAUACCCCGCUGUUCUGACGGUACCCAAAGAAUAAGCACCGGCUAACUUCGUG